GUAGUGUUGCUCUUUUUGCAAUUUCAAAACCAUCAACUAGCACACGAGGAUGCAUCCCUUCAUCGAUGCAACGCUCAGAUUGUUUCAUGAGCUCCCCAAUGAAAAGCACAGUAGAUGUUGUUCCGUCACCACUUGUAUCAUCUUGAGCAACAGCAGUCCUAGCAAUCAUUACUGCAGUUGGGUUUUGUAUUUGCAUCUCCUUCAGCAAUGUAUUUCCAUCCUUGGUAAGUUUAAUGUCACCGGCACCACCAACAAGCAUUUUAAUGGUGCCCUUAGGGCCGAGAUUGGUCUUGAGAACAUCCUGCAAACCCUUGGCGGCAUUAAUGUUCAUGUGAAGCGCGGCUGAUUUGUUGAGUACCUCCGCAUUUGGAUUCAAAACCUUUACAGACAUCUUCACUUACUGCUAUGGAGUUUUGGAGGCUAAGCAGAUCGCUGUAAGAAUGAGAGAGAAGCGUGGGGGCUGGGUUGGGUUUUG
rnacentral:misc_RNA from 1 species